rnacentral:rRNA from 1 species
UACAGAGGGUGCGAGCGUUGUCCGGAAUCACUGGGCGUAAAGAGCUCGUAGGCGGUUUGUUGCGUCGGCUGUGAAAUCCCGAGGCUCAACCUCGGGUCUGCAGUCGAUACGAGCAAACUAGAGUGUUGCAGGGGAGACUGGAAUUCCUGGUGUAGCGGUGAAAUGCGCAGAUAUCAGGAGGAACACCGGUGGCGAAGGCGGGUCUCUGGGCAACAACUGACGCUGAGGAGCGAAAGCGUGGGGAGCGAACAGG